GUGUUCACUGGGAGGCUUGGAAUGCAUCCCCCACAGAUCUCGGCUGAAGGGGCAGCCCUAUUGGGGACAUGCAUUUUUCAUGGUGGAGGGAAAAACAUGAAGAAGAAUCAUGAAUUGUUCCUUAAAGCUUUUAUUCAGAAGCUGUACAAGUACUUCUGCUCACAUUUUAUUGAAGAACCCUGAUAUCAAAGGGAGAAAAAUAUAAUCUUCUUUUAGGGAGAGGCAGUAAAUAAAUAUCUAUUGACAAUGAUCCUCAAGAAUGGAAACAAUCCAAAUGUGUAUCAACUGGUGAAUGGAAAAACAUAUUGUGGUACAUCCAUACAAUAAAAUAAUAGGAAUAAAAAAAUCAGCGAACUACUAACGUUACAUGCAACAACAUGGAUGAAUAUCAAAGACAUUAUGCUAAGAAGCCAGAUUUGAAUGGUUACAUACCAUAUUAUUUCAUUUAUAAGACAUUCUGCAAAGGACAAAACUUAGAAAACAAAGUGGUGGUUGGUAGAGACUGGUGUUGGGAGGGGGCACUGACCACAAAUGCAAAUCAGGGAAUUUGGGAAGGAUGACAAGAAUAUUCUCUAUAUUAAGUGUGAUGGUGGUUACAUAGCUGUAUAUGUUUCUCAAACGUAUCUAUCCCUAAAAAAAAAAGGGUAUGUACAUAAAUCAUGCCUUAA